ensembl:lncRNA
UUCGCGAGUGUCCGUUAACCUCUCUACUUCCUACUCAUUUCUGUUCAGGAAGUGUUUAGAACAGGGGUCUCCAAACUCUGUCCUGGAGGGCCGGUGUCCUGCAGUGUUUAACUCAAACUUGCCUCAGCACACCAGCCUGGAAGUUUCUAGUAUGCCUAGUUCAAGUGUGAUCUGUAAACAUGCAAAUAAUACUCUGUGUGGUGUGUAUUAUGCUACAUGAGCACUGCUUAUUUUUCUUUGAGAAAGUAGUAUUACUGUGUUUAUAGCAAAAUUGUAGAGGCUGAUAUUGUGG